rnacentral:rRNA from 1 species
UACAGAGGUCUCAAGCGUUUGUUCGGAUUUAUUGGGCGUAAAGGGUGCGUAGGCGGUCUGUUGCGUCGGUUGUGAAAACCUGGGGCUCAACUCCAGGCCUGCAAUCGAUACGGGCAGACUAGAGUUCGGUAGGGGAGACUGGAAUUCCUGGUGUAGCGGUGAAAUGCGCAGAUAUCAGGAGGAACACCAAUGGCGAAGGCAGCUCGCUGGGACGGUACUGACGCUGAGGCGCGAAAGCGUGGGGAGCAAACAGG